rnacentral:rRNA from 1 species
GACGAAGGGGGCUAGCGUUGUUCGGAAUUACUGGGCGUAAAGCGCGUGUAGGCGGUUGCCAAAGUCGGGUGUGAAAGCCUUGAGCUCAACUCAAGAAUUGCACUCGAUACUUGGUGACUAGAGGACCGGAGAGGAUAGUGGAAUUCCCAGUGUAGUGGUGAAAUACGUAGAGAUUGGGAAGAACACCAGUGGCGAAGGCGGCGACCUGGUCCGAUACUGACGCUGAGGCGCGAAAGCGUGGGGAGCAAACAGG